rnacentral:siRNA from 1 species
ACGGAGGUGUUAACGGGAGUUGAA